AGUGAACGCUGGCGGUAGGCCUAACACAUGCAAGUCGAACGGCAGCACAGAGGAGCUUGCUCCUUGGGUGGCGAGUGGCGGACGGGUGAGGAAUACAUCGGAAUCUACUCUGUCGUGGGGGAUAACGUAGGGAAACUUACGCUAAUGCCGCAUACGACCUACGGGUGAAAGCAGGGGAUCUUCGGACCUUGCGCGAUUGAGUGAGCCGAUGUCGGAUUAGCUAGUUGGCGGGGUAAAGGCCCACCAAGGCGACGAUCCGUAGCUGGUCUGAGAGGAUGAUCAGCCACACUGGAACUGAGACACGGUCCAGACUCCUACAGGAGGCAGCAGUGGGGAAUAUUGGACAAUGGGCGCAAGCCUGAUCCAGCCAUACCGCGUGGGUGAAGAAGGCCUUCGGGUUGUAAAGCCCUUUUGUUGGGAAAGAAAUCCAUCUGGUUAAUACCCGGGUGGGAUGACGGUACCCAAAGAAUAAGCACCGGCUAACUUCGUGCCAGCCGCCGCGGUAA
rnacentral:rRNA from 1 species